rnacentral:rRNA from 1 species
GAUGAACGCUGGCGGCGUGCCUAAUACAUGCAAGUCGAGCGAACGGACGAGAAGCUUGCUUCUCUGAUGUUAGCGGCGGACGGGUGAGUAACACGUGGAUAACCUACCUAUAAGACUGGGAUAACUUCGGGAAACCGGAGCUAAUACCGGAUGAUAUUUUGAACCGCAUGGUUCAAAAGUGAAAGACGGUCUUGCUGUCACUUAUAGAUGGAUCCGCGCUGCAUUAGCUAGUUGGUAAGGUAACGGCUUACCAAGGCAACGAUGCAUAGCCGACCUGAGAGGGGGGUCGGCCACACUGGAACUGAGACACGGUCCAGACUGCUACGGGAGGCAGCAGUGGGGAAUCUUCGGCAAGGGGCGAAAGCCUGACGGGGCAACGCCGCGUGAGUGAUGGAGGUCUUCGGAUCGUAAAACUCUGUUAUUAGGGAAGAACAUAUGUGUAAGUAACUGUGCACAUCUUGACGGUACCUAAUCAGAAAGCCACGGCUAACUACGUG